rnacentral:rRNA from 1 species
AGUGAACGCUGGCGGUAGGCCUAACACAUGCAAGUCGAACGGCAGCACAGUAAGAGCUUGCUCUUACGGGUGGCGAGUGGCGGACGGGUGAGGAAUACAUCGGAAUCUACUUUUUCGUGGGGGAUAACGUAGGGAAACUUACGCUAAUACCGCAUACGACCUACGGGUGAAAGCAGGGGAUCUUCGGACCUUGCGCGAUUGAAUGAGCCGAUGUCGGAUUAGCUAGUUGGCGGGGUAAAGGCCCACCAAGGCGACGAUCCGUAGCUGGUCUGGGAGGAUGAUCAGCCACACUGGAACUGAGACACGGUCCAGACUCCUACGGGAGGCAGCAGUGGGGAAUAUUGGACAAUGGGCGCAAGCCUGAUCCAGCCAUACCGCGUGGGUGAAGAAGGCCUUCGGGUUGUAAAGCCCUUUUGUCGGGAAAGAAAAGCAGCAGGUUAAUACCCCGCCGUUCUGACGGUACCCAAAGAAUAAGCACCGGCUAACUUCGUG